GUGGGGAAUAUUGGACAAUGGGCGCAAGCCUGAUCCAGCCAUGCCGCGUGUGUGAAGAAGGCCUUCGGGUUGUAAAGCACUUUUGUCCGGGAAGAAAUCUUCCAGGUUAAUACCCUGGGAGGCUGACGGUACCGGAAGAAUAAGCACCGGCUAACUUCGUGCCAGCAGCCGCGGUAAUACGAAGGGUGCAAGCGUUACUCGGAAUUACUGGGCGUAAAGCGUGCGUAGGUGGUUCGUUAAGUCUGCCGUGAAAGCCCCGGGCUCAACCUGGGAAUGGCGGUGGAUACUGGCGGGCUAGAGUGCGGUAGAGGGUGGUGGAAUUCCCGGUGUAGCAGUGAAAUGCGUAGAGAUCGGGAGGAACAUCCGUGGCGAAGGCGGCCAUCUGGACCAGCACUGACACUGAGGCACGAAAGCGUGGGGAGCAAACAGGAUUAGAUACCCUUGUAGUCC
rnacentral:rRNA from 1 species